rnacentral:rRNA from 1 species
GACGAACGCUGGCGGCGUGCUUAACACAUGCAAGCCGAACGGAAAGGCCCUGCUUUUGUGGGGUGCUCGAGUGGCGAACGGGUGAGUAACACGUGAGUAACCUGCCCUUGACUUUGGGAUAACUUCAGGAAACUGGGGCUAAUACCGGAUAGGAGCUCCUGCUGCAUGGUGGGGGUUGGAAAGUUUCGGCGGUUGGGGAUGGACUCGCGGCUUAUCAGCUUGUUGGUGGGGUAGUGGCUUACCAAGGCUUUGACGGGUAGCCGGCCUGAGACGGUGACCGGCCACAUUGGGACUGAGAUACGGCCCAGACUCCUACGGGAGGCAGCAGUGGGGAAUCUUGCACAAUGGGCGGAAGCCUGUUGCAGCAACGCCGCGUGCGGGAUGACGGCCUUCGGGUUGUAAACCGCUUUCGCCUGUGACGAAGCGUGAGUGACGGUAAUGGGUAAAGAAGCACCGGCUAACUACGUG